AUUGAACGCUGGCGGCAGGCCUAACACAUGCAAGUCGAGCGGAGCGGCGGACGGGUGAGUAAUGCCUAGGAAUCUGCCUGGUAGUGGGGGAUAACGUCCGGAAACGGGCGCUAAUACCGCAUACUAUCAGAUGAGCCUAGGUGGAAUUAGCUAGUUGGGGGGGUAAAGGCCUACCAAGGCGACGAUCCGUAACGGGUCUGAGCGAAAGAUCAGUCACACUGAAAAUGAGACACGGUCCAGACUCCUACGGGAGGCAGCAGUGGGGAAUAUGGGACAAUGGGCGAAAGCAUGAUCCAGCCAUGCCGCGUGUGUGAAGAAGGUCUUCGGAGUGUAAAGCACUUUAAGUUGGGAGGCGUUACCAACAGAAUAAGCACCGGCUAACUUCGUGCCAGCCGCCGCGGUAAUUC
rnacentral:rRNA from 1 species